rnacentral:rRNA from 1 species
CUUUCCCUCUUUCUUCAGGCCUAACACAUGCAAGUCGAGCGGAUGAAGGGAGCUUGCUCCUGGAUUCAGCGGCGGACGGGUGAGUAAUGCCCAGGAAUCUGCCUGGUAGUGGGGGAUAACGUCCGGAAACGGGCGCUAAUACCGCAUACGUCCUGAGGGAGAAAGUGGGGGAUCUUCGGACCUCACGCUAUCAGAUGAGCCUAGGUCGGAUUAGCUAGUUGGUGGGGUAAAGGCCUACCAAGGCGACGAUCCGUAACUGGUCUGAGAGGAUGAUCAGUCACACUGGAACUGAGACACGGUCCAGACUCCUACGGGAGGCAGCAGUGGGGAAUAUUGGACAAUGGGCGAAAGCCUGAUCCAGCCAUGCCGCGUGUGUGAAGAAGGUCUUCGGAUUGUAAAGCACUUUAAGUUGGGAGGAAGGGCAGUAAGUUAAUACCUUGCUGUUUUGACGUUACCAACAGAAUAAGCACCGGCUAACUUCGUG